GUUGGUGUUAAAGGGAGAACUGCGAGGAGUCUAUACAAGUUCUCGGACGAGGUUUUUGAACAGAACUUCGAUAGGCGAGAGGUGUAAGCACCGCGAGGUGUGAAGCGAUCUCGUACUAAACGAA
rnacentral:rRNA from 1 species